rnacentral:rRNA from 1 species
UCCACGCCCUAAACGAUGGAUGCUAGUCGUUGGGGGGUUAAACCCCUCAGUGAUGCAGCUAACGCAUUAAGCAUCCCGCCUGGGGAGUACGGUCGCAAGACUAAAACUCAAAGGAAUAGACGGGGACCCGCACAAGCGGUGGAGCAUGUGGUUUAAUUCGAAAAUACGCGAAGAACCUUACCUAGCCUUGACAUUGAAGAAACACACUAGAGAUAGAGUGGUGCCCUUCGGGG